AUUGAACGCUGGCGGCAGGCCUAACACAUGCAAGUCGAGCGAGAGGCGGAAGGGUGUGUAAUGUAUGGGAGACUGCCUGAGGGAGGGGGGUAACACCUGGAAACGGUAGAUAAUAAAGCAUACAAUAAGAGGUGCCCCGAUGGGUGUAGCUAGAAGAUGGGGUAACGGCUCACCUAGGCGACGAUCCAUAUCUGGUCUGAGAGGAUGAACAGCAACACUGGAACUGAGACACGGUCCAGACUCCUACGGGAGGCAGCAGUGGGGAAUAUUGCACAAUGGGCGCAAGCCUGAUGCAGCGAUGCCGCGUGUGUGAAGAAGGCCUUCGGGUUGUAAAGCACUUUCAGCGAGGAGGCGUUACCCGCAGAAGAAGCACCGGCUAACUCCGUGCCAGCCGCCGCGGUAAUUC
rnacentral:rRNA from 1 species